AAGUCGUAACAAGGUUUCCGUAGGUGAACCUGCGGAAGGCUACGAUUCCUGUAGACCGUACACUCGGGCAGGAGCUUUGCCAAAGGGUCCCCAUGCCCCCUAAUAACCCCACAGUUUAAUGUGAAGCUCAAUGUAGGUUCUC
rnacentral:misc_RNA from 1 species